AUGACGAAAGACAACCUGGCCAAAAGAGGCAUAGAAAAAGCCCCAGAAUGUGUAUACUGCUAUGAAAAAGAGUCCAUUACACACCUAUUCUUUGAAUGUGUGGUGGCCAAGCAAAUCUGGAUAGAAAUAUCAAGUUUUUUUGAUGCAGAAUUAGGAACUAACUACUUGUCUAUUGCUAGAUUUUGGCCAGCUAACAAGAAACAUAUUGCUUUUAAUUCAGUCUGUGCAUGUGUUCUAUGGGCUAUGUGGAAAAAUAGAAAUCCACAUGUCUUUAACAAUGCUAUAUGGACUGAUGUGAAACAGAUAUGGAGGAGAGUGCUAGGACAAUCCAGGAGAUGGCUGAUCUUGUUCGGAGGACCUGCCUUGACAAAACUGGAGGCGUUCGUUCAGAAAAUCUCUUGCAUCCUAGAUGCCCCCCUCCAGAUUCUGGCAGGUUAA
rnacentral:rRNA from 1 species